GUUGUGUGGGUCACUCUCAGUCCUUCCUCUGUUGUUUUUUUCAUUUGCUUCAAUUUCUACCUAGGAAAAUGAAGCCAUUGAGCAAAGCAAAAGUCAUAAGAGCAACUGUGAAGUGAUAACAGUAUGCAGUUAGUGCUCAGCCAGUGGGAACUAAUUCACUCAUUCACAAAGCUACAAAGCUGCCGUCAGACGGCAUUUUUUGUUGCUAUCGAACAGAUUGCAAUUAGAUCCACUGACAAAGACCAGUCAUUGAGCACUGGUCAGGAGCCAUUAGCACCCAGUUCGAACACAAUGUAAAUUCUAUGAGAACUCAUUGUUUUUAUAAAGAUCGCAUGCAAUUUGUUGCC